UACGUAGGGUGCAAGCGUUGUCCGGAAUUAUUGGGCGUAAAGGGCUCGUAGGCGGUCCAUCACGUCGGGAGUGAAAAGCUGGGGCUUAACCCCAGUCCUGCUUCCGAUACGGGUGGACUAGAGGUAGGUAGGGGAGAACGGAAUUCCUGGUGUAGCGGUGAAAUGCGUAGAUAUCGAGAGGAACACCUGCGGCGAAGGCGGGUUGCUGGGCUGACACUGACGCUGAUGUGCGAAAGCUAGGGGAGCGAACGGG
rnacentral:rRNA from 1 species